rnacentral:tRNA from 1 species
UGGCUCAGUGGUUAAGAGCACUAGGCUGCUCUUCCGGAGGACCUGGGUUCAAUUCCCAG